rnacentral:lncRNA from 1 species
UUUUUAACGACUAAUAGCACCAUAAAAUAACAAAACUAAUACAUGAACUACAAAUACAACUAAAUUGGUAUUUUGUGAACAAACAAAAUUUUCUUUUAAGUAUAAAAUUUAUCAAACUAAAUAUACUGAGCUGGCAAUCAUGAGUUAUCCUCCAUGUAUCAUGUGUAUCAGCCUCACUUAAGAUUUCAACUGAAAAUGACUUAAAUUCAUCUUAUUUCGAGUAAAAUGACUGAGUUUAUAUCUAAUUGUACCUCUAUAAACCUUUAACUUAG